UAUUUCAGAGUCAAAAAUAGUUCAGAUUAAGGAAAAGACACCAGUUUAGUCAAUUUACUGAAAGCCAUACAGCUUUGGAAACGACUUGAGGGUUAAAGUUCCCUUCCAAAAUGUAAAAGGAUGACCACUGUGUAGUCACAAUUAACCAGCAUCAUGAGUUCGGAGAGCACGUUGGGCCUGUUCAUGCCGCUGUUGUUCCUGCUGACUCUGGCCUUGGUUUUGUUCUCGUG